rnacentral:rRNA from 1 species
GACGAACCGUGCAAACGUUGUUCGGAAUCACUGGGCUUAAAGGGCGCGUAGGCGGGCGAGCAAGUCCGGGGUGAAAUCUUUCGGCUUAACCGGAAAAGUGCCUUGGAUACUGCUUGUCUGGAGGAAGGUAGGGGCAGGUGGAACUUCUGGUGGAGCGGUGAAAUGCGUUGAUAUCAGAAGGAACGCCGGUGGCGAAAGCGACCUGCUGGACCUUUUCGUGACGCUGAGG